UCGAACAGAAUGUGUAUUUGCAUAAGCUAGACGGUUCUCACGGACACAAAGCCAUGUUUGUCAAUAUUGUUUUUUUUUUAUCCGGCGUUUCUUACAUAACACUGAAUGAGGAGGCAGCAAAUAGACAUCUAUAACCUUAAUAGCCUGGAUUUAAAUACAUAAAACUUUUGAAAGAGAAUACAGAUCUAGAAGGCCGGCCAGGAAAUUUAUCAACAUGCAUUCCUGUACAAUCGUUUUGUUUGUUAUUUGCAUAAUUGCUUCAACCCUUGUCGCAGAUAGUGAAGGUCAAUUGUGUAUAAAGACUGCGCGUGGAUGUAGAGAUACAAGACCAUUCAUUGGAAAUAAAGGAAGGUGUGAAAGAAGUAGGCCUAAUAUGAAAUGUGCUAGAAUUGGCCAAACCUGCAGGUGCAAGUCAUCUAUAAUUCUAAACGCACCCUCUCCAUUUCAUGAGAAAAAAACAAAUGAUGGACUAGAAGCCACACUGGAUGUUUCCCUUUCCAUUAAUCGCCCCAGAAAUGAAAAUCAGGAGAGCAAUUCGGAAACCAGCGAUGGAGAAUACAGUAAUUCCAUGAACAACUUAACUGAAUAUUGAUUGCUGAAAAAUAACAGAAACGAUAAAGAUUUAAACUGUUACAAAUUAAAUAUAAUUAAUAUUGGUAUUUCUAUGCAUUGUUUGAAUAACAAAUCAGCAAAUCACAACAUAUAAACUUUUAAAGUAUUGCUACGUUAUUCUUUUUUUUUACCUCAUCUGGCCAAAUAUUGCACAAGAAAGCUUUUAUUUUUGAUGUUUUAAUGAGUUUGCAUCGAAGACAGCCAUAUAUUACCCAAAAGUGCAUAUUGCGAUUAUAGAUUCAGACCGCAAUACCUUGAGCUUACUUUGAAACGCAGUAUUCUCUAAUUGAUAAAAUUGCCUCGCCUUAGGGAUUAAUUUAUUUAUCAAAGGGUUUUCUUCAAACCAUGGCUCACAAGUCAAUAUUAUUAAGAUCCGCUUAAGUGAAUUGUUUUACUUAACUUAACUGUUUUUCCAUCGAUACAAUAUCAGAUCUAACAGUUAAGCACUUGUUCAGAUUCAAUCAAUGACCAUCAUUAAGAAUUUUUGAUAUGUUAGUUAUGGUGCCAUUAUUCUUACAACAGUUUAGUUAAGUUUAGAUAUAUUUAGUUUACUAAUGUUUUAAUCAGUCACUCACUCAGUCACACAGAAAUUCAGUCCCUCACUCAAGUUAGAAUACGAAAUAAAAAAUUGCAUUAAUUGUUGAUAAAAUGGUUUGAAAAUUGACUCAAAGCAUGUUGCUUAUAACAGAGUGUUUCAGUGAAAAUGUAACAUCUAAAUAAUAUAGCUUUUACUAUUUAUCACUUAAAAUUUCUCAUAGAAAGUACUAACCAUACAUAUUAGAACAAAUUUAAUUGAUGGGCGAUAGAAAUAGACUUUAUACGGACAUAUAACAACGUAAAACGAAACAAAUAUAUACCAAUAACUUGAUUGAACAGGUAAUGAGUCAUUUUAAACAAUGCAUGGUACUGCAUAGGUAAGAAGUCUAUCUGAAAAAGCUACGGACAUUGCGAAAAAUGCUAUUUUUUACUUAAAUGUCCGGUUUCCUAUUUGUGUACUGCAUUCUGUUAUGUAUACUCAUGAAAAUUAUUAUUUCGUGUCUGUCACCGGAUAUAUUUAACCACAUGAUAACACAAAACUACCAAUUUUAAAUUUAAUUUCUGCUACGUAAUACGCGUGACUUUGCAAAAUUGGACAUAUUCAUUGAUGUUAUAUAAACUUAACUGUAAAUCAGCCUUUCAUUCGUGUACAUUAAAUGAACUGACAAAGAAUAAUCAUUCGUAUGUAUCCUUUAAGAAUUUGGAAUAGCAAAUUGUAAAAUAGACCAGAAGCCAGGGGAAAAAAGAACAAAUAGUUGUUGUUUCAUAAUGCAGAUAUUUCUGAUUUGUGUGAUUCUCCACUAUCUAGUUGUGUUUUCUACAAUAAGAGAUGCAAGAAGUCAAUUUUGCACAAAAAGAGGGAAUAGAUGUUUAGAUACAAUUGUGAAAGGCCAAGGUCGAUGCGCUAGGAGAAGUAGGGAUAGGGAAUGUGCAAGAAUUGGAAGCACUUGCAAAUGUCAGCUGUGACGACUUUUAUCCAUUAUACGCGACGACUUUUAUCCCGUAUAAGACGUUGACAUAUCAAGGAUGUAAAGACACGACAACAAAGGAAUCAUAUUCACAUUUUUCAGAAACAUUAUGCUUGAAAAUGUAACAUCAGAUCAGUUUAUAAGAACAGUUAAAUACAAUGAGGUUUAUAUAUUUAGAGUGAACGCAUUGGUAGUGCUUAUGUCCAGGUAUAUUGUAAAUAUUACACAUAUGCCAAGAGAACAGUGUUUAUAAAUUUAAAAAAUCCCCUCUGCUAGUAAUGCGUGUCUUAGUGCUUUACAACGAUUCUCUAUUUUGUUGUAUAUUGAUUCUUUUUGGAGACGUGGCAUGUAUUGUUUAGAGAUGAAAAAUAGUGCCGUUUAAUUUACAAUUAUAUAAGAAGUAUUAUAAAAAAACAUUGUCUGUUAGUUU